UAUGGCCAUAUCACGUUGAAACACCGGUUCCCGUACGAUCACCGAAGUUAAUCAACGCCGAGCUUGGUCAGUACCUAGAUGGGUGACCGCUUGUGAAUACCAGGUGCUGUAA